GACGAACGCUGGCGGCGUGCCUAAUACAUGCAAGUUGAGCGCUGAAGGUUGGUACUUGUACCAACUGGAUGAGCAGCGAACGGGUGAGUAACGCGUGGGGAAUCUGCCUUUGAGCGGGGGACAACAUCUGGAAACGAAUGCUAAUACCGCAUAAAAACUUUAAACACAAGUUUUAAGUUUGAAAGAUGCAAUUGCAUCACUCAAAGAUGAUCCCGCGUUGUAUUAGCUAGUUGGUGAGGUAAAGGCUCACCAAGGCGAUGAUACAUAGCCGACCUGAGAGGGUGAUCGGCCACAUUGGGACUGGGACACGGCCCAAACUCCUACGGGAGGCAGCAGUAGGGAAACUUCGGCAAUGGACGAAAGUCUGACCGAGCAACGCCGCGGGAGUGAAGAAGGUUUUCGGAUCGUAAAACUCUGUUGGUAGAGAAGAACGUUGGUGAGAGUGGAAAGCUCAUCAAGUGACGGUAACUACCCAGAAAGGGACGGCUAACUACGUG
rnacentral:rRNA from 1 species